AUGAUGUACUCAUCCCAGCUCCUCUGCCUCCUGGUGCUCUGGGCUCAGGAGUCCAGCACAGCCAUUGUGAUGACCCAGACUCCAACCUUCCUGACUGUGACUCUGGGAGAGAGAGUCACCAUCAGCUGCAGGGCCAGUCAGGCUAUUACCAAUGAUUUAGCCUGGUACCAGCAGUCACCAGGAAAACCUUCCAAGCUUGUUAUCUAUGAAGCUACCUCCCUAGCAUCUGGGGUCCCUGCCCGCUUCAGUGGCAGUGGGUAUGGGACAGAUUUUACUCUCACAAUCAGCAGUUUGGAGGCUGAAGAUUUUGGACAUUUUUACUGUCAGCAGUAUUACCACCUCUCUAGCCCACAGUGA